GGGAUUAACAAGAUCAGCGGCAGGUUGAUUAACCAUCAGCUCACUUCUUUUUCAGGCUGGAUGCUGAAUAUCAUGGAGCGAGGAAAGGAAAGACGUCAAGUUUAUCUACAUGUUUUCCAACAGGAGGGGUCAACAUCAGGAGAAAAAUAAGAAGCAGCAAACUGAUUUUCUAUAGCAGUGUAACAGGCUGCUCUCCUGGGAUUCCUACCUGUGUAAUUGCCCUUGUUACACUAACUGCUGAAUAGGAAAGCCUGCCUCUUCACCACUGCUCUGAUGUGACACUGGAAGUCUGGAAUAUUUGGUCCCCACAAUCUACAUCAGCGACUCUCAACCCUGACUGCAUAUGUAAUUCACCUAAGCAUUUUUGAAUGAAACUCGUGUCCAGGCUCCACUCAAGACAAAUUAAAACAAUCUGUGGCAAUGAAGUGCAGGAAAGGAUAUUUUAUUCAAAGUUCCCAGGUAAUUCUAUUGUGUGGCCAGAGUUGAAUACUACUGGUCUACACAUGUCGUA